AUGCUGGAGGUAUCAGAAGUGCGAAUGCUGACAUAAGUAACGAUAAAGCGGGUGAAAAGCCCGCUCGCCGGAAGACCAAGGGUUCCUGUCCAACGUUAAUCGGGGCAGGGUGAGUCGACCCCUAAGGCGAGGCCGAAAGGCGUAGUCGAUGGGAAACAGGUUAAUAUUCCUGUACUUGGUGUUACUGCGAAGGGGGGACGGAGAAGGCUAUGUUGGCCGGGCGACGGUUGUCCCGGUUUAAGCGUGUAGGCUGGUUUUCCAGGCAAAUCCGGAAAAUCAAGGCUGAGGCGUGAUGACGAGGCACUACGGUGCUGAAGCAACAAAUGCCCUGCUUCCAGGAAAAGCCUCUAAGCAUCAGGUAACAUCAAAUCGUACCCCAAACCGACACAGGUGGUCAGGUAGAGAAUACCAAGGCGCUUGAGAGAACUCGGGUGAAGGAACUAGGCAAAAUGGUGCCGUAACUUCGGGAGAAGGCACGCUGAUAUGUAGGUGAAGUGACUCGCGCGUGGAGCUGAAAUCAGUCGAAGAUACCAGCUGGCUGCAACUGUUUAUUAAAAACACAGCACUGUGCAAACACGAAAGUGGACGUAUACGGUGUGACGCCUGCCCGGUGCCGGAAGGUUAAUUGAUGGGGUCAGCGCAAGCGAAGCUCUUGAUCGAAGCCCCGGUAAACGGCGGCCGUAACUAUAACGGUCCUAAGGUAGCGAAAUUCCUUGUCGGGUAAGUUCCGACCUGCACGAAUGGCGUAAUGAUGGCCAGGCUGUCUCCACCCGAGACUCAGUGAAAUUGAACUCGCUGUGAAGAUGCAGUGUACCCGCGGCAAGACGGAAAGACCCCGUGAACCUUUACUAUAGCUUGACACUGAACAUUGAGCCUUGAUGUGUAGGAUAGGUGGGAGGCUUUGAAGUGUGGACGCCAGUCUGCAUGGAGCCGACCUUGAAAUACCACCCUUUAAUGUUUGAUGUUCUAACGUUGACCCGUGAUCCGGGUUGCGGACAGUGUCUGGUGGGUAGUUUGACUGGGGCGGUCUCCUCCUAAAGAGUAACGGAGGAGCACGAAGGUUGGCUAAUCCUGGUCGGACAUCAGGAGGUUAGUGCAAUGGCAUAAGCCAGCUUGACUGCGAGCGUGACGGCGCGAGCAGGUGCGAAAGCAGGUCAUAGUGAUCCGGUGGUUCUGAAUGGAAGGGCCAUCGCUCAACGGAUAAAAGGUACUCCGGGGAUAACAGGCUGAUACCGCCCAAGAGUUCAUAUCGACGGCGGUGUUUGGCACCUCGAUGUCGGCUCAUCACAUCCUGGGGCUGAAGUAGGUCCCAAGGGUAUGGCUGUUCGCCAUUUAAAGUGGUACGCGAGCUGGGUUUAGAACGUCGUGAGACAGUUCGGUCCCUAUCUGCCGUGGGCGCUGGAGAACUGAGGGGGGCUGCUCCUAGUACGAGAGGACCGGAGUGGACGCAUCACUGGUGUUCGGGUUGUCAUGCCAAUGGCACUGCCCGGUAGCUAAAUGCGGAAGAGAUAAGUGCUGAAAGCAUCUAAGCACGAAACUUGCCCCGAGAUGAGUUCUCCCUGACUCCUUGAGAGUCCUGAAGGAACGUUGAAGACGACGACGUUGAUAGGCCGGGUGUGUAAGCGCAGCGAUGCGUUGAGCUAACCGGUACUAAUGAACCGUGAGGCUUAACCUU
rnacentral:rRNA from 1 species